GGGGGGGGGGGGGGGGGGGGCGGGGGGGGGCGGGGCGGGGGGGGGGAGGGGGCUGGCUCCUGGAGGCAGCGGCGGACGGGGGAGGAAUGCCUAGGAAUCUGCCUGGUAGUGGGGGAUAACGUCCGGAAACGGGCGCUAAUACCGCAUACGUCCGGAGGGAGAAAGUGGGGGAUCUUCGGACCUCACGCUAUCAGAUGAGCCUAGGUCGGAUUAGCUAGUUGGUGGGGUAAAGGCCUACCAAGGCGACGAUCCGUAACUGGUCUGAGAGGAUGAUCAGUCACACUGGAACUGAGACACGGUCCAGACUCCUACGGGAGGCAGCAGUGGGGAAUAUUGGACAAUGGGCGAAAGCCUGAUCCAGCCAUGCCGCGUGUGUGAAGAAGGUCUUCGGAUUGUAAAGCACUUUAAGUUGGGAGGAAGGGCAGUAAGUUAAUACCUUGCUGUUUUGACGUUACCAACAGAAUAAGCACCGGCUAACUUCGUG
rnacentral:rRNA from 1 species